CAGUAUUUUAAUGCCAACACUGCACGCAAAUACACUCCUACAUUCCAUCGCUAGCACUGUACACAAAUACACCCCCUGCAUGUGUACCUGUGUGUGUACAUAUCUGUGUCAGUAUGCGUGUAUCUCUGUGUGUGGAUGUGCCAGUGUGUGUAUGUCUGUGUGUUAGUAUCAAAGGGUGUGUAUAUGUGUGUCAAAGGGUGUGUAUCUGAGUGUGUGUGUGUUUGUGUAUAUGCCAGUAUGUGUCAAGGUGUGUGCAUGUGUCAAAGUGUGAGCAUGUGUCAGUGUAUUUGUGUGUAUCUGCAUGUUAAUGUGUUAAUGUGCAUACAUCCCAGAAAUCACACAACAUGCAAACACACCCCUACAAACACAAACAUUACAUUCAAGCACACCCGUUUGCUGAAACACCAAUACUACACACAAAUGUACAUAUGCAUUUAAAAGACAACACUACAUUCAAACACAUCCCUACAUGCAAAUACAAACAUUACAUACAAACACAUCCCUGCAUUAAAACACUAAAAUUAUAUACAAACACCAACUCUACACACAAAAGUACACCUGCAUUUAAAAGCGAACAAUAUAGACAAUCACACCCCCCCCACAUUUAAACACACUACACACGAGUACACCACUGCACUCCAAUGGUAACAGUACAUACAAAUACACCCCUACAUGCACACAUACACUCUAUACAAAAACGUGCUUACAUUUAAAUGCACGAACACUGCUCACAAAUACAACCCUGCAAGGAUGGUAGACCCCCAGCUGGCAUAGCAUUGCAGGAGUUGUAUGACAGAUGGGGAUCUAUCUUUUCUUUACUCUUGCACUACAGGGGAGGC